CCUACGGGAGACAGCAGUGAGGAAUAUUGGUCAAUGGACGAAAGUCUGAACCAGCCAUGCCGCGUGAAGGAUGACGGCUCUAUGGGUUGUAAACUUCUUUUAUACGGGAAUAAAACCAGGUACGUGUGUCUUUCUGCAUGUAUUUUAUGAUUAAGGAUCGGCUAACUCCGUGCCAGCAGCCGCGGUAAUACGGAGGAUGCGAGCGUUAUCCGGAUUUAUUGGGUUUAAAGGGAGCGUAGAUGGGUUGUUAAGUCAGUUGUGAAAGUUUGCGGCUCAACCGUAAAAUUGCAAUUGAUACUGGCAGUCUAGAGUACAGUUGAGGUAGGCGGAAUUCGUGGUGUAGCGGUGAAAUGCUUAGAUAUCACGAAGAACACCGAUUGCGAAGGCAGCUUACUAAACUGUGACUGACAUUGAGGCUCGAAAGUGUGGGGAGCAAACAGGAUUAGAUACCCCAGUAGUC
rnacentral:rRNA from 1 species